rnacentral:SRP_RNA from 1 species
GCCAGGCAUGGUGACAAGAGCCUGUAGUCUCAGCUACUCAGGAGGCUGAAGUGGCAGAGUCAUUUGAGCUCAGUAAUUCUGGACUGUAGUGCACUAUGUGGAUUGGGUGUCCACACUAAGUUCAGCAUCAAUAUGGUGGCCUCCCCAGAGAGGCAGACACCAAAUUGCCUAAGGAGAGGUGAACUGGUCCAGGUUGGAAAUAGAGCAGGUCAGAACUCUCUGUGCAUAUCAGUAGUGAGAUCACACCUUGGAAUAGUCCCUGUAUUCCAGCCUGGGCAACACAGCAAGAUCCCAUCUCU